GCCAUGGUGGUCUAGUGGUUAAGGUACUCGGCUGCUGACCCGGAAGUCGCGGGUUCAAAUCCCGCCCGUGGCG